rnacentral:rRNA from 1 species
GUGGGGAAUCUUAGACAAUGGGCGCAAGCCUGAUCUAGCCAUGCCGCGUGAUCGAUGAAGGCCUUAGGGUUGUAAAGAUCUUUCAGUGGGGAAGAUAAUGACUGUACCCACAGAAGAAGCCCCGGCUAACUCCGUGCCAGCAGCCGCGGUAAUACGGAGGGGGCUAGCGUUGUUCGGAAUUACUGGGCGUAAAGCGCACGUAGGCGGACCAGAAAGUCAGGGGUGAAAUCCCGGGGCUCAACCCCGGAACUGCCUUUGAAACUCCUGGUCUUGAGGUCGAGAGAGGUGAGUGGAAUUCCGAGUGUAGAGGUGAAAUUCGUAGAUAUUCGGAGGAACACCAGUGGCGAAGGCGGCUCACUGGCUCGAUACUGACGCUGAGGUGCGAAAGCGUGGGGAGCAAACAGGAUUAGAAACCCGUGUAGUCC